rnacentral:rRNA from 1 species
CCAGACUCCUACGGGAGGCAGCAGUGGGGAAUCUUCCGCAAUGGGCGCAAGCCUGACGGAGCAACGCCGCGUGAAUGAAGAAGGUCUUCGGAUCGUAAAGUUCUGUUCUUAGGGAAGAAGUCUUUUCUUGUGAAUAAUGGGAGAAGGUGACGGUACCUAUGGAGAAAGCUCCGGCUAACUACGUGCCAGCAGCCGCGGUAAUACGUAGGUGGCAAGCGUUGUCCGGAUUUACUGGGUGUAAAGGGCGUGCAGCCGGAGAGACAAGUCAGAUGUGAAAUCCGCAGGCUCAACCUGCGAACUGCAUUUGAAACUGUUUCCCUUGAGUAUCGGAGAGGUCAUCGGAAUUCCUAGUGUAGCGGUGAAAUGCGUAGAUAUUAGGAAGAACACCAGUGGCGAAGGCGGAUGACUGGACGACAACUGACGGUGAGGCGCGAAAGCGUGGGGAGCAAACAGGAUUAGAUACCCGAGUA